ACAAGUACCGUGAGGGAAAGUUGCAAAGCACUUUGAAGAGAGAGUUAAAGAGGACGUGAAACCGGUAAGGUGGAAACGGAUAGAGUCGGCGUAUCAUUCAAUUAUUCAGUUACAUUAUUUUUAUGUUGUGACCUCUGAGCUCCAGAUUGGGACAGAGGGAAUCAGCAUAAUUUUUUGUGGUGCAUUUACUUGAUUGGUGCUUGGGGAUGUUUGAGGCAGAUUUGUUUCCGUCGUUUUGAGGCCAGCUUGCUGGUACCCAAACGGUGUUAGCAUUUUUUGUCUUGGGCAUUUGAGUAUGGCUCACGUGUAUUUAUUGGACAGAUCUGAGUGUAAGUUACGGUCGCAUGCGACACGUGCUUUUCAAUUAGUUCGGUCCAGUUAAUGCUCUCGUACUCGUUCCCCAUGUAAAAGCCGGUCAUCUAUCCGACCCGUCUUGAAACACGGACCAAGGAGUUUAUCGUGUGCGCAAGUUUUUGGGUGUUAAAAACUUAAAAGCGAAAUGAAAGUAAAUGACUCUUUAGAGUCUGAUGUGCGAUCUUGUAAAAAAGUGUAGCAUGGCCCCAUUCUAACUGUUUACAGUAGGGUGGCGGAAGAGCGUACGCGGUGAGACCCGAAAGAUGGUGAACUAUUCCUGAGCAGGACGAAGCCAGGGGAAACUCUGGUGGAAGUCCGAAGCGGUUCUGACGUGCAAAUCGAUCGUCUGACUUGGGUAUAGGGGCGAAAGACUAAUCGAACCAUCUAGUAGCUGGUUCCUUCCGA
rnacentral:rRNA from 1 species